UACGUAGGGGGCAAGCGUUGUCCGGAAUCAUUGGGCGUAAAGCGCGUGUAGGCGGUCCGGUAAGUCGGCUGUGAAAGUCCAGGGCUCAACCCUGGGAUGCCGGUCGAUACUGCCGGACUAGAGUUCGGAAGAGGCGAGUGGAAUUCCCGGUGUAGCGGUGAAAUGCGCAGAUAUCGGGAGGAACACCAAUGGCGAAGGCAGCUCGCUGCGACGUUACUGACGCUGAGACGC
rnacentral:rRNA from 1 species